UACAGGCUUAACACAUGCAAGUCGAGGGGCAGCAUGGUCUUAGCUUGCUAAGGCCGAUGGCGACCGGCGCACGGGUGAGUAACACGUAUCCAACCUGCCGUCUACUCUUGGACAGCCUUCUGAAAGGAAGAUUAAUACAAGAUGGCAUCAUGAGUCCACAUGUUCACAUGAUUAAAGGUAUUCCGGUAGACGAUGGGGAUGCGUUCCAUUAGAUAGUAGGCGGGGUAACGGCCCACCUAGUCUUCGAUGGAUAGGGGUUCUGAGAGGAAGGUCCCCCACAUUGGAACUGAGACACGGUCCAAACUCCUACGGGAGGCAGCAGUGAGGAAUAUUGGUCAAUGGGCGAGAGCCUGAACCAGCCAAGUAGCGUGAAGGAUGACUGCCCUAUGGGUUGUAAACUUCUUUUAUAAAGGAAUAAAGUCGGGUAUGUAUACCCGUUUGCAUGUACUUUAUGAAUAAGGAUCGGCUAACUCCGUGCCAGCAGCCGCGGUAAUACGGAGGAUCCGAGCGUUAUCCGGAUUUAUUGGGUUUAAAGGGAGCGUAGAUGGAUGUUUAAGUCAGUUGUGAAAGUUUGCGGCUCAACCGUAAAAUUGCAGUUGAUACUGGAUAUCUUGAGUGCAGUUGAGGCAGGCGGAAUUCGUGGUGUAGCGGUGAAAUGCUU
rnacentral:rRNA from 1 species